rnacentral:lncRNA from 1 species
GAAGUAUCCAUGGGGUGCUGUGUCUUAUGCGAAGACAAAUGCGUCACUGCUGAGGGCACUUUGUGCAGAUUACCAGCGAGUGAAAGUGCCCACAAAAACUGCAAAAACAAAAAAAAUCUGGAAAGAAACCAACAACAACGGCAACCGGUAGACCAAGAGAGUACCACCUCAAAGGUUUUGCCUAUGCACUUCAGGUGAGCAAAUGUCCAUUGAUGUUGAAGUUAAAUUGCAUUUGUUUACAAUGACUGACCUUUUAUUCCUCAAACCAGAUUUGGGCGUAUGAGGUAUUUCCAGCGUUGGCUGCACUACAUUUGGUGGUGCACGAAGAUAAUGCGUACAUCCCUCGUUUACUACAUUGGAGGAGCAAUAGUUCGCCGCGUUUUUAUGAGCUAAUGAGCCAAGUAUUCGAGAACCGUGAGGUUAGUUCAGUUUUUAAUGAUAAUGUUAGGGAUAUGAAAAUAUAAUAUAAUUACUUUACUGAUAUGUAUAUUGUAUGUGUAAAUUGCAGGUUGAUGUGCAGCUUCUCCGGCCAUCUGUAAUGGACAAGCAGCAGCCGUAUUGGACUUGGGGUGACAGUGCUGACAACACUGAAGAACUUGUUGACUUGUUGGGCGAUGACGCUGAACAAAAAACCGGCACUUCUGCCUCUGUAGAAGAAAAAGAUAAGGACAUUGACGAAACUGCAAGCCUUCCGUCGUCUUCUAAGG